GCUGUCCUGAACCUGGCAUACAAUGUAGAUUUCUGUGUGGUACAAUCUACAGCUACAUUGUCUGCUGGGUUUCAGGCCGGCCCA
rfam:Astyanax mexicanus chromosome 19, whole genome shotgun sequence.